AGAAGACAAAGACAAUGAUGGUUGUAAAUGUAGAAAUGAAGAUGAAGAGGCAAAGAAGGUAGAAAAGAAGGCCUCUAUGGUUGCAAAGACCAGCAAUGAAGAGCAUGAAGAUGUUGAUGAUGAUGGUGAUGAGAAUUAUGAACCUUUGAGUGUGAAAAGACUAUCUUCAAAAGAAAAGAAGGUUGGAGGUGACCAUGGAGUGCAACAAACUGAGUCUUCUUUAAAUGA
rnacentral:lncRNA from 1 species